rnacentral:rRNA from 1 species
AACACAACUUUAGUCGCCAUCUCCAUAUCUGGUUUACUUGUAAGCUUUACUGGGUAUGCCUUAUAUACCGCGUUUGGGCAACCCUCUCAACAAUUAAGAGAUCCAUUCGGCUUUACGUCCGCUAUCCUGAUCAUGAUUUUCCUACCCUCAGGGGGAAAGUAA